UACGGGGGGAGCAAGCGUUGUUCGGAUUUACUGGGCGUAAAGGGCGCGUAGGCGGCCACCGCAAGUCGGUUGUGAAAUCUCUGGGCUUAACCCAGAAAGGUCAACCGAUACUGCGGGGCUAGAGUGCAGAAGGGGCAACUGGAAUUCUCGGUGUAGCGGUGAAAUGCGCAGAUAUCAGGAGGAACACCAAUGGCGAAGGCAGCUCGCUGGAACGGUACUGACGCUGAGGCGCGAAAGCGUGGGGAGCAAACAGG
rnacentral:rRNA from 1 species